UUCAGUGACUUUUGCUUGCUGGGGUUGUACCAAACCUGGUCAUAUUUUUGUGUGAACUUUGUAGCAGUCUGCGAUUGUAGACUGUGCUCUGUAAUUACACCAAGAAGAUUUUUAACAACUGAAUUCAAAUCAAUAUUUCCUUGCUGUCACAUAACUCUUUUGUAGGAGAAUCUUGUAAAAGAGCACUCUGGCAGUGUGAUUCCUGACAGUGAAAAGAAACACAAGACGUGUUAUAAAGACUCCUCCAAUGGAUAAAAUGCAGAGUGGAAGAAGCACAAACCUGCCUGCAGGGCAGAGCAGCAGGAAAAAGCAGAAAGUGCUUGUGCAGCUGGACACUGAGUCAGACAGCUCUGAGCACACUGACCUCCUGAGCAUAGUCUCGGAAGAAGAAAUGUUUAAAAAUUUGUACAAAGAUUAUCCACAAGCUUCACAGUUACAUUCCACAGCACCAAAAAAGAGCCCAGCUCCAUGCAGUGUGAAAUCUCCAGGCUCUGCUCUGAAACUCAAAACCAUGAGGAGGAUGUGCGAGGCGGGCUGGACUGUGCUCUCCAAAAUGGACAGGAAAAGGAAAAUUAAAGAUGCUGUAAAGAUGCUGUAAAGAUGCUCUUUGCUAAAAAUCCAGAAAUGCCCAGUGCCCUGGCAUUGCUUGCAGGGCUGUUUUUCUCUCAGAGUUGGUGCUUUGUUGCAUUUUUCUGUCAUACUCAGUGUGUUUAAUACUGUGUUCAUUCCUUUACACAUAUAAACUUUAUAGAUCUAUAACUGCAACCCCUGCAGAACAUCUUCCACCUUUCCUCCCUUGUGCUUCAAAAUGUUGGGACACAAAUUUGCCAAUUUUAAAUUUGGAAAUAAAUAGAACUACACAGAAAGUUGUUUCAAAGCUGUUUCUGGCAUUAGAAAUUCUGGUUUCAAAGAACUUCUGUUCUUUUACAUUUACUCUGUUUUUCUUAACAUAUAACUACUUAGUGGAAGAAAUGUAGCUGUUAAAUGAAUGUUCUUUUACCUGAAGUCCUCUUGCUUUUUCCUGCAUUUUAAUGGCUGUUAGACCUGUCUUUUUAGACUGUUUUGUUUUCAGUAUGUUAAAAUGGUUUCGAAACUUCUAAAAUUUCAGUAGAAUUACUUGUAUUUAAAAAGAUUUCAGCUUCACAAGGAGUAAAAUAUGCACGUUAUAAGAUUGUGAAACCAAUGUUAAGAUGCCAUUAAAUUGUUUAUCUGAAAUAUAAA